UUGAUAGUAACGAUCCUCCUCAAAGUGAUGGUGAAGAUGAUGAGAUUGUUGAGCAUGUGCCUUCGGCUCAGCUUCGAGAAAUGGAUCAGUUGCGUAAUACUAUUGCUGAUCGAAUUUGGAAUUCUCUUUAGCACUUUUGAUCCUUCUGAAAGUGAUGAUAUGAAGUGUGUUGAUGUUCUCUUAAAGGCCACAUGUGCUGUUAUGAAGAUGAUGUGUCGUUGCCAUUGUCAUCCACUUUAUGAACUUCUUAUCAAUUUUUACUGACAACUAUGUAUUGUUAAUGCUUUGUUCCAAACAUUUUAUGUACAACUUAAACUUGUUUAAUUUGUUGGUUGAAUAUUUAAAGACUUGUAAAUGGUAUACACUCUAUUUCAAUUAUGCUUUCAGUUGGGUUUGUUUUUA